rnacentral:rRNA from 1 species
GACGAAGGUGGCGAGCGUUGAUCGGAAUCACUGGGCUUAAAGCGCACGUAGGCGGCCCGUCAAGCGCUUUGUGAAAUCCCCCGGCUCAACCGGGGAAUUGCUUGGCGAACUGGCGGGCUUGAGGCAGGUAGAGGCAAGUGGAACUCUCGGUGGAGCGGUGGAAUGCGUAGAUAUCGAGAGGAACGCCAGCGGUGAAGAAGACUUGCUGGGCCUGUCCUGACGCUGAGGUGCGAAAGCUAGGGGAGCAAACAGG